CUGUUUCUGUAUUCCUGAUUUAUCUUGAGGACAGGAAAAGCACUAUAUGAAGUCAUAGCCAAAGGAUGUGACAUUUAGUGAAGUUCUGGGAUGGUAGAAGUGGCAUCAACUCUGCCUGUUUCUGUUCUCCCUCCAGCAGAAUCUGUUUUGUGCAUACUGUGAAGACUGAGAAUGAGGCUGGAAAAUAAAGAGAUCACACUAGUUUGCUUCCCAUUGCACAUCAAACACAAAUCCCUUAAAAUGAUCUGAGCCACCGGGAGGACCCAACCCCUGCAUGUUCAGCUGGUGGUCUCUUCAACUUCUCUUCUAGCAAAAAUUGCCAUCUGCUUCUUCACACCACCAGGCUUUCAUGUGGAUUUCCCUCUAGUGCUAGUAUGUUCCUUGUGUGGCAGUCACUCAUUAGCACACAAUACAAUGUUUCCUUGCUGUGAUUCCACUGGGCGACAAGAGUGGAAACUGGAAGCCAUUGUUGCACCCGGCACACUGACCACUGGCCGGAACCUUGCAUUGUUCAGACAAGACUUCAAGGCAACAUUUUCCGUGGUCAAGAUGAUCCAUCAGGGCAGUGGAAGCUCACACUUGCUGCCAAGCAGCCCUCUGCCCUCCUCAGGAGUCCAGAUAGCAACAGGAGCAAGCUUCUGGCAGACCGAUCUCCGUGUGGCAGAGAUGCCUGCUCUCAAGUGCCCCCCCUCUGAGUGGAGACAAAGUCCACCCUGGCCUGGCUGGCAGCGGUGUGAACUGAACCCCACUGUGAACAGCACAAGCUUCACUGGGCCUGCUUGGGUUGGCAGCAAAAAGGAGAUCAGCAGAGCCAAGUUCUCCAUCCUGUUUUUUCCAGCUUCCAUUUCAAAAUAAAGUGAAAGUUUCUGAUCCUAUUGAGCACUGAAAAUAGGAAAAAAGACACACUUUUCCAAGGGAAAUAAUAUGAAGAUUUGGGGUUUCAUAAAUGGAAGUGCCAGCAAGGGACAUCUCCUAAACAGAGGUAGCUAGUGAUCAAGUGUUUCAUUCUGCUUUAAAAGGUGGGCAUUUUAGGUACAAUCACUAAUGUUGUCCUGAAUACUUUCAGAAAGGUUAUUUUCUAUUUACAUAUUUUAUUUAUUUAUUCAUUUAUUUUGUUUUUUCAAGACAGGGCUCCUCUAUAUAUGUGACAUAUAGGACUAUAGGACAGUCCUGGAUGUCCUGGAGCUCACUCUGUAGACCAGGCUGGCCUGAACUCACAGAGAUCCACCUGCCUCUGCCUCCCAAGUGCUGGGACUAAAGCCAUGCAC
rnacentral:lncRNA from 1 species